rnacentral:lncRNA from 1 species
ACCCAGUUGCACAGGGCUUUAUGCCUGGCAAGGGCACCCCUUGCUGUGUGCAUCCCAGAGGAGGCACGUCUGAAGUCUGCAGAGGAAGCUUCUAUCUUCCCUUCCAACGAAUUCCUGCUCAGGCCAGCAAGGAAGAGAGUUUGAGUUGUUUAUGGGACUCGUUUAUGGAACGCACACGCUGUGCCAGGCAUUGUGCACAGAGAGACCCAGUUCCUGCCCUCUUGGAGUUUAUAUGACAUGAGCUGAAGACAGACAAGAAGCAAGUCUGAGGUGAAGCCUGCAUAUUUGCAUUUCUAACAAGCUCCCAAGUGAUGCUGAUGGCUGUUGUCUGCAGACCACACUGCUUGACACUGAGGCUAAUUCAGAUUGUGUGCUGUUGUCAUAAGAAGGAAACAGAAGCCAUACGCAAUGACAUCCCUAGUUCUGACCUGUGCCAGACACUGAUGUUUGUGCUUAUAUAUAUUAUAGAUAGUGUAUUUUCAAAGCAACCCUUUGAGGUGUAAGAGCUACCAGAGGGAGGAAAGUGGAAGCUACCAGACGGAGGAAGCAUAAACCAGGUCCUGAUCCCUGAUUAAUUGAGAAUCAGCCAGCUUGGGAAGGGGAUGGCUGCGCAAGCCCACAGAACGCAGACUCCCAGAGGAGGCAGGGGUAGGAAAGCUCUUGGCCGUGGCCUGAUUGUCUGGGAGACGGGAGUCAAGAUGGCUUGGUUUCAACAAACUGGCUUUGAUUA